rnacentral:rRNA from 1 species
UACGGGGGGAGCAAGCGUUGUUCGGAUUUACUGGGCGUAAAGGGCGCGUAGGCGGUCAGCACAAGUCAGUUGUGAAAUCUCCGAGCUUAACUCGGAAAGGUCAACUGAUACUGUGCGACUAGAGUGCGGAAGGGGCAACUGGAAUUCUUGGUGUAGCGGUGAAAUGCGUAGAUAUCAGGAGGAACACCGGUGGCGAAGGCGGGUCUCUGGGCCGUAACUGACGCUGAGGAGCGAAAGCGUGGGGAGCGAACAGG